UACGUAGGGUGCAAGCGUUAAUCGGAAUUACUGGGCGUAAAGCGUGCGCAGGCGGUUUUGUAAGUCAGAUGUGAAAUCCCCGGGCUUAACCUGGGAACUGCAUUGGUGACUGCAUUGCUGGAGUAUGGCAGAGGGGGGUGGAAUUCCACGUGUAGCAGUGAAAUGCGUAGAGAUGUGGAGGAACACCGAUGGCGAAGGCAGCCCCCUGGGCCAAUACUGACGCUCAUGCACGAAAGCGUGGGGAGCAAACAGG
rnacentral:rRNA from 1 species